rnacentral:rRNA from 1 species
CAUGGCCUUUUGAUGAUAAUUUAAGGUCUGGCCUGCCCAAUGAUUUUUUAAUGGCCGCAGUAUUUUGACUGUGCAAAGGUAGCAUAAUCAUUAGUUCUUUAAUUGUGAGCUGGAAUGAAAGGUUUAAUGAAAAAUUAGCUGUCUCUAUUCGAUUAAUUGAAUUUUAUUUUUGAGUGAAAAAGCUUAAAUUUUUUAUAAAGACGAGAAGACCCUAUAGAGUUUUAUUUUUUAUUAAUUUGUUUUAAUGGUUAAUACAAUGGUUUAUGAUAAAUUUUGUUGGGGCGAUAAAUAAAUUUAAUUAACUUUAUUUAAUUUUAACAUUGAUAUUUGAUUUUUUGAUCCUUGUUUUUAGAUUAUAAGAUUAAAUUACCUUAGGGAUAACAGCGUAAUUAUUUCUUAGAGUUCUUAUCGAGUAAAUAGUUUGCGACCUCGAUGUUGGAUUAAAAUUAAUUUUCGGUGAAGAAGCUGAAAUAUUAGGUCUGUUCGACCUUUAAAAUU